rnacentral:rRNA from 1 species
UACGUAGGGUGCAAGCGUUGUCCGGAAUUAUUGGGCGUAAAGAGCUCGUAGGCGGUCUGUUGCGUCGGCUGUGAAAACUCGGGGCUUAACCCCGAGCCUGCUUCUGAUACGGGCAGACUAGAGGUAUGCAGGGGAGAACGGAAUUCCUGGUGUAGCGGUGAAAUGCGCAGAUAUCAGGAGGAACACCGAUGGCGAAGGCGCUCUGCUAGGCCGUAACUGACACUGAGGGACGAAAGCUAGGGGAGCGAAUGGG